GAUGAACGCUGGCGGCGUGCUUAACACAUGCAAGUCGAACGAUGAAGCCCAGCUUGCUGGGUGGAUUAGUGGCGAACGGGUGAGUAACACGUGAGUAACCUGCCCUUGACUCUGGGAUAGGCCUGGGAAACUGGGUCUAAUACUGGAUAUGACUUCUCAUCGCAUGGUGGGGGGUGGAAAGAUUUAUUGGUCUUGGAUGGACUCGCGGCCUAUCAGCUUGUUGGUGAGGUAAUGGCUCACCAAGGCGACGACGGGUAGCCGGCCUGAGAGGGUGACCGGCCACACUGGGACUGAGACACGGCCCAGACUCCUACGGGAGGCAGCAGUGGGGAAUAUUGCACAAUGGGCGCAAGCCUGAUGCAGCGACGCCGCGUGAGGGAUGACGGCCUUCGGGUUGUAAACCUCUUUCAGUAGGGAAGAAGCGAGAGUGACGGUACCUGCAGAAGAAGCGCCGGCUAACUACGUG
rnacentral:rRNA from 1 species